CCUCCCUCAGCUCUGGCAAUAACACAGGUCUAGAGUGUGCUUGGUGGAUUCCCAAGCAAGAGAAGAGGAUGGCCUUCCUAAUGCACAGCAAACUGCCCCAAAGUGGCUUCUCUGUUUCUGGGAGUACACAGCU
ensembl:snoRNA Gm26418 predicted gene, 26418